rnacentral:rRNA from 1 species
AGACGUAGGGGGCGAGCGUUGUCCGGAAUUACUGGGCGUAAAGAGCACGUAGGCGGGGAUCUAAGUCGGAUGUGAAAGACCGGGGCUCAACUCCGGGAUUGCAUCGGAAACUGGAUUUCUUGAGGGCAGGAGAGGAAAGCAGAAUUCCUGGUGUAGCGGUGAAAUGCGUAGAAAUCAGGAGGAAUACCGGUGGCGAAGGCGGCUUUCUGGACUGACCCUGACGCUGAGGUGCGAAAGCGUGGGUAGCAAACAGGAUUAGAUACCCUGGUAGUCCACGCCGUAAACGAUGGAUACUAGGUGUAGGAGGUAUCGACCCCUUCUGUGCCGGAGCAAACGCAAUAAGUAUCCCGCCUGGGGAGUACGAUCGCAAGGUUGAA